AGCAGCAUGAAGCAACUCAGCUUUUGUGGUCUAUUUGCUCCUCACAGGGGAAUUUGUGGGAGAUAAUAUAAUUUGAAUGCUUGUCUAAUCCCUGUUCGGGGGUGAUGGGACCUCACCAAGGUCUGAGAGUGUCACAAAAUAAAGGUUAUGUGGAUAGCCUUUUAAAGAUGCCACCUUUUUGGUGUCUCACUGCUCGACCUUGCUUGCCACAUUCAUAUGAAUUGUGCUGAUGCUGAAAA
rnacentral:lncRNA from 1 species